rnacentral:sRNA from 1 species
GUUGGGUGUGGUGGUGCACACCUGUAAUUCCAGCAGCUCAGGAGGCUGAGGCAGGAGGCAAGUUCAAAGCCAGCCUCAGAAAAAGAGAGGUGCUAAGCAACCCAGUGAGACCCUGUCUCUA